rnacentral:rRNA from 1 species
AAACUUUAAUAGUUACAACUUUCAACAACGGAUCUCUUGGUUCUGGCAUCGAUGAAGAACGCAGCGAAAUGCGAUAAGUAGUGUGAAUUGCAGAAUUCAGUGAAUCAUCGAAUCUUUGAACGCACAUUGCGCCCCUUGGUAUUCCAUGGGGCAUGCCUGUUCGAGCGUCAUUU